CCAUCAUGAUGAUAAUGGACUGAACCUCUGAAACUCCCCCUGGCUUAUCACCCACCUGCACCAAAGAAGAUGUAUCCUACAGACUUGGGUCUGUCUAACAUCCUUGGUCCAGAAGCGUCUCUACUGAGGCCUCAGGCUCUACAAUCCUGAUUUACCAACUCUCAUUGAAGGUUAAGUUCCUAAGGGAGCACAUGAAGGGGCCAAUCCUGCAGACCCAAAGCUGCA